GGAGGGCAAGUCUGGUGCCAGCAGCCGCGGUAAUUCCAGCUCCAAUAGCGUAUAUUAAAGUUGUUGUGGUUAAAAAGCUCGUAGUUGAACCUUGGGCCUGGCUGGCCGGUCCGCCUCACCGCGUGUACUGGUCCGGCCGGGCCUUUCCCUCUGUGGAACCCCAUGCCCUUCACUGGGUGUGGCGGGGAAACAGGACUUUUACUUUGAAAAAAUUAGAGUGCUCCAGGCAGGCCUAUGCUCGAAUACAUUAGCAUGGAAUAAUAGAAUAGGACGUGUGGUUCUAUUUUGUUGGUUUCUAGGACCGCCGUAAUGAUUAAUAGGGACAGUCGGGGGCAUCAGUAUUCGAUUGUCAGAGGUGAAAUUCUUGGAUUUAUUGAAGACUAACUACUGCGAAAGCAUUUGCCAAGGAUGUUUUCAUUAAUCAGGAACGAAAGUUAGGGGAUCGAAUACGAUCAGAUACCGUCGUAGUCUUAACCAUAAACUAUGCCGACUAGGGAUCGGACGAUGUUAUUUUUUGACUCGUUCGGCGCCUUACAGGAAAC
rnacentral:rRNA from 1 species